CGCCUGUUUAUCAAAAACAUCGCCUCUUGCCUCCCAUAAGAGGUCCAGCCUGCCCGGUGACAAAGUUUAACGGCCGCGGUACCCUGACCGUGCGAAGGUAGCAUAAUCACUUGUUCUUUAAAUAGGGACUCGUAUCAACGGCAUCACGAGGGCUGUACUGUCUCCUUUCUCUAAUCAGUGAAACUGAUCCCCCCGUGAAGAAGCGGGGAUUUAAUUAUAAGACGAGAAGACCCCAUGGAGCUUUAAGCCUAAUAUUUAGCCAACGCCGACAUACCUUCUAAGUUAUAAAGGCCCUAAAUACCCGCUUUAGGUUGGGGGGACCGCGGAGUAUAACCAAACCUCCAUGACUAAUGGGCCUCGCCCUUAUCCACGAACUACACCUCUAAGAAUCAACAAACUGAUGUUUGAUGACCCGAAACAUUCGAUCAACGAACCAAGUUACCCUGGGGAUAACAGCGCAAUCCACUUCAAGAGUCCAUAUCGACAAGUGGGUUUACGACCUCGAUGUUGGAUCAGGGUAUCCUAGUGGUGCAGUCGCUACUAAAGGUUCGUUUGUUCAACGAUUAAAACCCUACGUGAUCUGAGUUCAGACCGGACGUCGUGAUCUGAGUUCAGACC
rnacentral:rRNA from 1 species